rnacentral:lncRNA from 1 species
GUUAUAUUUCAAAUUUUCUACUUGAAUGUAUGUUAAGAUGCAAUUUAUUGCUGUGAUGCUCAGCUGAAUUUUCAGCAUCAUUACUCCAGUCUUCAGUGUCACUUGAUUCUUAAGAAAAUAUUUUAAUAUGCUAAGCUGCUGCUCAUUGCUCAUGAAAUAUUUCUGAUUAUUACCACAGCUGUGAGCUUCCUAUUUUUGUGGAAACCAAGUGUGCUGCACAUGACCUGAAAAGUGAUGCCACAACAUUUUGAUGGCCUUUAGGGGGCUGUUUCAUAAAAGACGCUGAGACGCUGAGAAAAUCAAUCGGGACUAAAGUGGUUUCAUAAACUACAGUUGAAGUUCACACAAUCUCACUAAUUCGAUCCAGGUUCAAUGAGUCAGGAUAAUUUGAUGUGCAUUCUUAAGCAGCCCUUAAUGUCGAUCAUUGAUCAAAUCGAUCCACUGUGGCAAUUAGCGAUUAUUUAUGCUGUUUAAUGCAUUUGAGACAUUGUGUUUUCCUCUUUGCAUAACUGACACUGACACGUCACAGAUAUAUUUUUCAUCUGUAAAUGUUAGAAAGUCAUGCAAAUAUAUCCAUUUUGCUGUCAGGCGUGGGACGAGGGUUACACGAGGGAACGAGCGAUGCUGCGCACUAUACAGACUGAGCGCAAUAGAAUAAUGGUGCAAUAAUUCUGAAUAAAAUAUGCAUUCUGCUAAAAUAUUUGUUGUUGGACAUUAAAUGUGACGCAUGUAGAUUUUAAAUCCUACAUAUGUUUUUUUUUUUAUCAUAGCAGUAACUGUAAAUCAAAUGUAAGCUGCUAAUACAGCCCUACUAUCUUAAAUGAGUUAAUGUGUGUUCCUCUUAUAAGUUAAAAUGUAGUCUGAUUUCUAUUAUUUAUUUUAAUUUUUAAUUCAGUGGUUUUAACUUUUAAUUUAGUGUUUUAAAUAAUUUAAAGGGCAAUUUUAGAUGGUACUGUUUUAAUGUUCUACUAAUAACCAUAAAAGGCACAGCUGUCAUAAAACCCAAGAGAAAGGCUGCAUGGCUAGAAACUGUUGAUCAACUGAAUGGGCAAGUAGCAACUAUGUUUAAAUUCAACUGAAUGGGCAAGUAGCAACUAUGUUUAAAUGUUUUCAUCUUUUAAAAAAAGGUACAUUACAUUUUGGCCACAAUACAUUAAAUAUAGUUGGUUGUAGCCGUUAUUUAUUUAUUUAUUUAUUUGAUUAUUUAAGUUGCAUUUUCUGUAUACUUUUAUUUUUGGACUAAUAAUAAAGUCAACUAAUUGUAGCCUAUGUGAGAGAGUCAGUGGUAAUAUCAAUGCAUUCCUAUUGGUCAGUGUUAGAGGAGCUCAGCUUAGCCUGACAGUUAGCCUGCUCCGGACCAUGGGUGCGUUUCCCAAAACCAUAGUUGCUAACCUGUUAGCAACUUAGUUAGUUGGCAAUGGGAAAUUGCAUUGCAACCAACAAAGUUGCUAACUUAGUUAGCAACUAUGGUUUUGGGAAACGCACCCCAGGUUAGUUUCCCAGCAUAAGCUGCCACAGUGACUGAGCUUGAGCUAUGGUAAUUUGCUUUAUGAAACCAAAUCAAGUACAAAUUCUUUAACUAAUUUUUUUUUUUUUUUAAAAUUGUACACAUUCUUAGAAAUGU